GGUGCCGUGGCCGAGCGGCUAGGCAGCGGUCUGCAACACCGUGUACGGCGGUUCGAAUCCGCCCGGCACCUCAA
rnacentral:tRNA from 1 species